CAGUCGCCGCGGUAAGACAGAGGAUGCAAGCGUUAUCCGGAAUGAUUGGGCGUAAAGCGUCUGUAGGUGGCUUUUCAAGUCCGCCGUCAAAUCCCAGGGCUCAACCCUGGGCAGGCGGUGGAAACUACCAAGCUAGAGCAUGGUAGGGGUAGAGGAAAUUUCCAGUGGAUCGGUGAGACGUGUUGAGAUUGGAAAGAACACCAACGGCGAAAGCACUCUGCUGGGCCGACACUGACACUGAGAGACGAAAGCUAGGGGAGCAAAUGGGAUUAGAUACCCCAGUAGUCCCUGUCUCUUAUAC
rnacentral:rRNA from 1 species